GAUGAACGCUGGCGGCGUGCCUAAUACAUGCAAGUCGAACGCAUUGAGAAAAGUGCUUGCACUUUUCAAUUUGAGUGGCGAACGGGUGAGUAACACGUGGGCAACCUACCUGAUAGCGGGGGAUAACGAGUGGAAACAUUCGCUAAUACCGCAUAACAAUAGAGAAGGCAUCUUCUUUAUUUAAAAGGCGCUUUCAAGCGUCACUAUCAGAUGGGCCCGCGGUGCAUUAGUGAGUUGGUGGGGUGAAGGCCUACCAAGAGGAUGAUGCAUAGCCGCGUUGGGAGACUGAUCGGCAACAUUGGGACUGAGACACGGCCCAAACUCCUACGGGAGGCUGCAGUAGGGAAUCUUCCACAAUGGACGAAAGUCUGAUGGAGCAACGCCGCGUGUGUGAUGAAGGCUUUCGGGUCGUAAAGCACUGUUGUAUGGGAAGAAAUGCUAGGCUAGGAAAUGAGCUUAGUUUGACGGUACCAUACCAGAAAGGGACGGCUAAAUACGUGCCAGCAGCCGCAGUAA
rnacentral:rRNA from 1 species